rnacentral:tRNA from 1 species
AGUAGGAUAGAAUCAGGUAAUUUAGUGGGAUGGCCGAGGAUAGGCGAUAAAUUGUAAAUUUAUUCACGAAUGUUAAUUCUCCCAUUA